GACGAACGCUGGCGGCGUGCCUAAUACAUGCAAGUAGAACGCUGAAGAGAGGAGCUUCCUCUUCUUGGAUGAGUUGCGAACGGGUGAGUAACGCGUAGGUAACCUGCCUUGUAGCGGGGGAUAACUAUUGGAAACGAUAGCUAAUACCGCAUAACAAUGGAUGACACAUGUCAUUUAUUUGAAAGGGGCAAUUGCUCCACUACAAGAUGGACCUGCGUUGUAUUAGCUAGUAGGUGAGGUAAUGGCUCACCUAGGCGACGAUACAUAGCCGACCUGAGAGGGUGAUCGGCCACACUGGGACUGAGACACGGCCCAGACUCCUACGGGAGGCAGCAGUAGGGAAUCUUCGGCAAGGGGGGCAACCCUGACCGAGCAACGCCGCGUGAGUGAAGAAGGUUUUCGGAUCGUAAAGCUCUGUUGUAAGUCAAGAACGGGUGUGAGAGUGGAAAGUUCACACUGUGACGGUAGCUUACCAGAAAGGGACGGCUAACUACGUG
rnacentral:rRNA from 1 species